GAUGAACGCUGGCGGCGUGCCUAAUACAUGCAAGUCGAGCGAACGGACGAGAAGCUUGCUUCUCUGAUGUUAGCGGCGGACGGGUGAGUAACACGUGGAUAACCUACCUAUAAGACUGGGAUAACUUCGGGAAACCGUAGCUAAUACCGGAUAAUAUUUUGAACCGCAUGGUUCAAAAGUGAAAGACGGUCUUGCUGUCACUUAUAGAUGGAUCCGCGCUGCAUUAGCUAGUUGGUAAGGUAACGGCUUACCAAGGCAACGAUGCAUAGCCGACCUGAGAGGGUGAUCGGCCACACUGGAACUGAGACACGGUCCAGACUCCUACGGGAGGCAGCAGUAGGAAAUCUUCCGCAAUGGGCGAAAGCCUGACGGAGCAACGCCGCGUGAGUGAUGAAGGUCUUCGGAUCGUAAAACUCUGUUAUUAGGGAAGAACAUAUGUGUAAGUAACUGUGCACAUCUUGACGGUACCUAAUCAGAAAGCCACGGCUAACUACGU
rnacentral:rRNA from 1 species